UACGUAGGGGGCAAGCGUUGUCCGGAAUCAUUGGGCGUAAAGCGCGUGUAGGCGGCUUGGUAAGUCUGCUCUGAAAGCCCGGGGCUCAACCCUGGGAGGCGGGUGGAUACUGCCGAGCUCGAGUCCGGAAGAGGCGAGUGGAAUUCCUGGUGUAGCGGUGAAAUGCGCAGAUAUCAGGAGGAACACCAAUGGCGAAGGCAGCUCGCUGGGACGGUACUGACGCUGAGACGCGAAAGCGUGGGGAGCGAACAGG
rnacentral:rRNA from 1 species